rnacentral:rRNA from 1 species
GAUGAACGCUAGCGACAGGCCUAACACAUGCAAGUCGAGGGGUAUAGUAGCAAUACUAGAGACCGGCGCACGGGUGCGUAACGCGUAUGUAACCUGCCUCACACUGGGGGAUAGCCUUCCGAAAGGGAGAUUAAUACCGCAUAAUAAUAUUGUCCUGCCUGGGAUGAUAUUUAAAGCUUCGGUGGUGUGAGAUGGACAUGCGUAUGAUUAGCUAGUUGGGGGUAACGCCCACCAAGGCGACGAUCAUUAGGGGGUUCUGAGAGGAAGAUCCCCCACACUGGUACUGAGACACGGACCAGACUCCUACGGGAGGCUG